UGAGCAACCUGCCCUUCACUCUGGGAUAACUCCGGGAAACCGGGGCUAAUACUGGAUAUGACUCGAACAGGCAUCUGUUUCGGGUGGAAAGAUUUAUUGGUGGAGGAUGGACUCGCGGCCUAUCAGCUUGUUGGUGUGGGUAAUGGCCCACAAGGCGACGACGGGUAGCCGGCCUGAGAGGGUGACCGGCCACACGUGGGACUGAGACACGGCCCAGACUCCUACGGGAGCA
rnacentral:rRNA from 1 species